GGGUGGUGAUGUAGUGUAGAGGUGGUAUUCAAAUAGCAUAUACAGUAGUCUGAAAUAGUAGCUACUAAUAUAUUAAAAAUAACAACUUAUUAAAAUAUGAGAACUCUUAUUGAUGUAGUUAGGCCUAGCUUAGUCAAGCCAGAUGGUAGCUUGUAAACUGAUGUUCGCACUACACGCAAGCAUCCGACCUCUAUUGGUAUCCAUACGGAGAUAUCCUGAUCGAACACCAAGGCCACCAAAGUACUAG
rnacentral:lncRNA from 1 species